GACGAACGCUGGCGGCGUGCCUAACACAUGCAAGUUGAACGGAAAAGCCCUGUUCUUGUGCGGUCCUGGAGUGGCGAACGGGGGAGUGAAACGGGAGUAACCUGCCCUUGAGGUUGGGAUAACUUCAGGAAACUCGAAUUAAUACCGGGCAGGAGCGCUUGAAGCACGGGGGGGGUUGGAAAGGUUCGGCGGUUUGGGAUUGACUCGCGGGUUAUCAGCUUGUUGGUGGGGUAGUGGCUUACCAAGGCAUUGAGGGGUAGCCGGCCUGGGAGGGUGACCGGCCACAUUGGGCCUGAGGUAGGGGCCAGAGGGCUACGUGGGGCAGCGGUGGGAAAUAUUGCACAAUGGGCGGAAGCCGGAUACAGCGACGCCGCGUGCGGGAUGACGGUCUUCGGGUAGUAAACCGCUUUCGCCUGUGACGAAGCGUGAGUGACGGUAACUGCUAAAGAAGCACCGGCUAACUACGUG
rnacentral:rRNA from 1 species